UAGGGAAUCUUCCGCAAUGGGCGAAAGCUUGACGGAGCAACGCCGCGUGAGUGAUGAAGGUCUUCGGAUCGUAAAACUCUGUUAUUAGGGAAGAACAAAUGUGUAAGUAACUAUGCACGUCUUGACGGUACCUAAUCAGAAAGCCACGGCUAACUACGUGCCAGCAGCCGCGGUAAUACGUAGGUGGCAAGCGUUAUCCGGAAUUAUUGGGCGUAAAGCGCGCGUAGGCGGUUUUUUAAGUCUGAUGUGAAAGCCCACGGCUCAACCGUGGAGGGUAAUUGGAAACUGGAAAACUUGAGUGCAGAAGAGGAAAGUGGAAUUCCAUGUGUAGCGGUGAAAUGCGCAGAGAUAUGGAGGAACACCAGUGGCGAAGGCGACUUUCUGGUCUGUAACUGACGCUGAUGUGCGAAAGCGUGGGGAUCAAACAGG
rnacentral:rRNA from 1 species